rnacentral:tRNA from 1 species
GGAUGUAGCUUAGUGGUAGAGGACUUGCCUAGCAUGCAUGAGGCCCUGGCUUCAAUCCCCAGCACCA